UUAGAUUUGAAUUACCGUGGCACUUUAAUUGUAUGUGCAAGAAACCUCUUUCCCUUUAUAAUUUAAACUAUUAUUUCUAUUAAAAACAAAAUUAAGGAGUUAAAAUUUAGAGUUGGUGGUUUAAUUUGUUCUGUCGGAUGCCCUUAGCCAUUCAAUCUCAACUAUGAGUGACAUUGGUGUAUGUGGCGCAUUCACCAAAAGUCUCCCAUGUGCUUCCUUUUGUC
rnacentral:lncRNA from 1 species